rnacentral:rRNA from 1 species
GUUGUGAGGUUAAGCGACUAAGCGUACACGGUGGAUGCCCUGGCAGUCAGAGGCGAUGAAGGGCGUGCUAAUCUGCGAUAAGCGCCGGUAAGGUGAUAUGAACCGUUAUAACCGGCGAUACCCGAAUGGGGAAACCCAGUGUGACUCGUCACACUAUCAUUAACUGAAUCCAUAGGUUAAUGAGGCGAACCGGGGGAACUGAAACAUCUAAGUACCCCGAGGAAAAGAAAUCAACCGAGAUUCCCCCAGUAGCGGCGAGCGAACGGGGAGGAGCCCAGAGCCUGAAUCAGCAUGUGUGUUAGUGGAAGCGUCUGGAAAGGCGCGCGAUACAGGGUGACAGCCCCGUACACAAAAGCGCAUGUGCUGUGAGCUCGAUGAGUAGGGCGGGACACGUGGUAUCCUGUCUGAAUAUGGGGGGACCAUCCUCCAAGGCUAAAUACUCCUGACUGACCGAUAGUGAACCAGUACCGUGAGGGAAAGGCGAAAAGAACCCCGGCGAGGGGAGUGAAAAAGAACCUGAAACCGU